rnacentral:rRNA from 1 species
GUGCCAGCCGCCGCGGUAAUACAGAGGGUGCGAGCGUUAAUCGGAAUUACUGGGCGUAAAGCGCACGCAGGCGGUUGGAUAAGUUAGAUGUGAAAGCCCCGGGCUCAACCUGGGAAUUGCAUUUAAAACUGUCCAGCUAGAGUCUUGUAGAGGGGGGUAGAAUUCCAGGUGUAGCGGUGAAAUGCGUAGAGAUCUGGAGGAAUACCGGUGGCGAAGGCGGCCCCCUGGACAAAGACUGACGCUCAGGUGCGAAAGCGUGGGGAGCAAACGGGAUUAGAAACCCUAGUAGUCC